GACGAACGCUGGCGGCGUGCUUAACACAUGCAAGUCGAACGGAAAGGCCCUGCUUUUGUUGGGUGCUCGAGUGGCGAACGGGUGAGUAACACGUGUGUAACCUGCCCUUGUCUUUGUGAUAACUUCAGGAAACUGGGGCUCAUACCGGGUAGGAGCUCCUGCUGCGUGGGGUGGGUUGGAAAGUGUCGGCGGUGGGGGAUGGACUCGCGGCUUAUCAGCUGGUUGGUGGGGUAGGGGCUUACCAAGGCUUUGACGGGUAGCCGGCCUGAGAGGGGGACCGGCCACAUUGGGACUGCGAGACGGACCAGACUCCUACGGGAGGCAGCAGUGGGGAGUAUGGCACAAUGGGCGGACGCCUGAGGCGGAAACGCCGCGUGCGGGAUGACGGCCUUCGGGGUGUAAACAGCUUUCGCAUGUGACGAAGCGUGAGUGACGGUAAUGGGUAAAGAAGCAACGGCUAACUACGUG
rnacentral:rRNA from 1 species